rnacentral:rRNA from 1 species
GACGAACGCUGGCGGCGUGCCUAACACAUGCAAGUCAACUUGACUGAAGGAGCAAUCUGACAGUAGAGUGGCGCAAGGGUGCGUAACGCGUAAGUAACUUGCCCCAAGGUAAGGAAUAACGUCGAGAAAUCGGCGCUAAUACCUCAUAAUGCAGCGGAUCCGCAUGGAUAUGUUGUUAAAGGUUUACCGCCUUGGGAUAGGCUUGCGUCUGAUUAGCUAGUUGGUGUGGUAACGGCACACCAAGGCUACGAUCAGUAACUGGUCUGAGAGGAUGAUCAGUCACACUGGAACUGAGACACGGUCCAGACUCCUACAGGAGGCAGCAGUGAGGAAUAUUGGGCAAUGCUCGAAGAGUGACCCAGCAACGCCGCGUGGAGGAUGAAGGUAUUCUAUAUCGUAAACUCCUGUGAGAGCAGACGAAAGACAGAUUAUUAAUCUGGAUGACUGUAUGCUCAGAGGAAGCCCCGGCUAA